CCCUUAGAUGUUCUGGGCCGCACGCGCGCUACACUGAUGCAUUCAACGAGCCUAUCCUUGACCGACAGGUCCGGGUAAUCUUUGAAUCUGCAUCGUGACGGGGAUAGAUUAUUGCAAUUAUUAAUCUUCAACGAGGAAUGCCCAGUAAGCGCGAGUCAUAAGCUCGCGUUGAUUACGUCCCUGCCCUUUGUACACACCGCCCGUCGCUACUACCGAUUGAACGGUUUAGUGAGGGCCUCGGAUUGGUCUCGGCCCGCUCUUUACCGGGCGGCGCCGUUGGUCGAGAAGACGCUCGAACUUGAUCGUUUAGAGGAAGUAAAAGUCGUAACA
rnacentral:rRNA from 1 species